AGGGUUUGAUCCUGGCUCAGAACGAACGCUGGCGGCAGGCUUAACACAUGCAAGUCGAGCGAGGUCUUCGGACCUAGCGGCGGACGGGUUAGUAACGCGUGGGAACGUGCCCUUCUCUAAGGAAUAGCCACUGGAAACGGUGAGUAAUACCUUAUACGCUCUUCGGGGGAAAGAUUUAUCGGAGAAGGAUCGGCCCGCGUUAGAUUAGAUAGUUGGUGGGGUAAUGGCCUACCAAGUCUACGAUCUAUAGCUGGUUUUAGAGGAUGAUCAGCAACACUGGGACUGAGACACGGCCCAGACUCCUACGGGAGGCAGCAGUGGGGAAUCUUAGACAAUGGGCGCAAGCCUGAUCUAGCCAUGCCGCGUGAGUGAUGAAGGUCUUAGGAUCGUAAAGCUCUUUCGCCAGGGAUGAUAAUGACAGUACCUGGUAAAGAAACCCCGGCUAACUCCGUGCCAGCAGCCGCGGUAAUACGGAGGGGGUUAGCGUUGUUCGGAAUUACUGGGCGUAAAGCGCGCGUAGGCGGAUCAGAAAGUUGGGGGUGAAAUCCCAGGGCUCAACCCUGGAACUGCCUCCAAAACUACUGGUCUAGAGUUCGAGAGAGGUGAGUGGAAUUGUGAGUGUAGAGGUGAAAUUCGUAGAUAUUCACAGGAACACCAGUGGCGAAGGCGGCUCACUGGCUCGAUACUGACGCUGAGGUGCGAAAGUGUGGGGAGCAAACAGGAUUAGAUACCCUGCUAGUCCACACCGUAAACGAUGAAUGCCAGUCGUCGGGCAGUAUACUGUUCGGUGACACACCUAACGGAUUAAGCAUUCCGCCUGGGGAGUACGGUCGCAAGAUUAAAACUCAAAGGAAUUGACG
rnacentral:rRNA from 1 species